rnacentral:rRNA from 1 species
GACGAACGCUGGCGGCGUGCUUAACACAUGCAAGUCGAACGAAGUGGCGAACGGGUGAGUAACGCGUAAUCAACCUGCCCUUCAGAGGGGGACAACAGUUGGAAACGACUGCUAAUACCGCAUACUGCAGGGUGGGAUUGCGUCUGAUAGGCAAGUUGGAGGGGUAACGGCCCACCAAGGCGAUGAUCAGUAGCCGGGCUGAGAGGAUGAACGGCCACAUUGGGACUGAGACACGGCCCAGACUCCUACGGGAGGCAGCAGUGGGGAAUCUUCCGCAAUGGACGGAAGUCUGACGGAGCAACGCCGCGUGAGUGAUGACGGUCGUCGGGUUGUAAAGCUCUGUUAAUCGGGACGCGGUACCUGAAUAGAAAGCCACGGCUAACUACGUGCCAGCAGCCGCGGUAAUUC